GGGCCCGCACAAGCGGUGGAGCAUGUGGUUUAAUUCGAUGAUACGCGAGGAACCUUACCAGGGCUUAAAUGUAGUGGGACAGGUCUAGAGAUAGACCCUUCUUCGGACUCAUUACAAGGUGCUGCAUGGUUGUCGUCAGCUCGUGCCGUGAGGUGUCAGGUUAAGUCCUAUAACGAGCGCAACCCCUAUCGUUAGUUGCCAGCGGGUAAUGCCGGGAACUCUAGCGAAACUGCCGGUGCAAACCGAGAGGAAGGUGGGGAUGACGUCAAAUCAUCACGGCCCUUACGUCCUGGGCUACACACGUGCUACAAUGGCCGGUACAGAGAGCAGCCACUACGCGAGUAGGAGCGAAUCUAUAAAACCGGUCUCAGUUCGGAUCGCAGUCUGCAACUCGAGUGCAUGAAGCUGGAAUUACUAGUAAUCG
rnacentral:rRNA from 1 species